rnacentral:rRNA from 1 species
AGCGAACGCUGGCGGCAGGCUUAACACAUGCAAGUCGAGCGGGCGUAGCAAUACGUCAGCGGCAGACGGGUGAGGAACGCGUGGGAACGUACCUUUUGGUUCGGAACAACACAGGGAAACUUGUGCUAAUACCGGAUAAGCCCUUACGGGGAAAGAUUUAUCGCCGAAAGAUCGGCCCGCGUCUGAUUAGCUAGUUGGUGAGGUAACGGCUCACCAAGGCGACGAUCAGUAGCUGGUCUGAGAGGAUGAUCAGCCACAUUGGGACUGAGACACGGCCCAAACUCCUGCGGGAGGCAGCAGUGGGGAAUAUUGGACAAUGGGGGCAACCCUGAUCCAGCCAUGCCGCGUGAGUGAUGAAGGCCCUAGGGUUGUAAAGCUCUUUUGUGCGGGAAGAUAAUGACGGUACCGCAAGAAUAAGCCCCGGCUAACUUCGUG